rnacentral:rRNA from 1 species
AGAUAACCGCUGAAAGCAUCUAAGCGGGAAACUCGCCUUAAGAUGAGAUAUCCCUGGGGACUUGAUCCCCUUGAAGGGUCGUUCGAGACCAGGACGUUGAUAGGUCAGGUGUGUAAGCGCAGUAAUGCGUUCAGCUAACUGAUACUAAUUGCCCGUAAGGCUUGAUCCUAUAACA